GCUUGUAUUUACAAUUGUUAGAUCUUCUUCGUUAUUUCCCCACCCCCUGUAUCUCUAUUUCAUUUUUACUUUGAAAAUGAAAUGGAACAGACAAAUUUUACUUGUCAACUUAAUAAUGGUCUGUCUAGUCAAAAGGCCUCCAGUUGGUUUAGAAUGGAGAAUCUAAAAAAAAAUAUGUAAAGUGUUUUUUUUUAGUUUCCUGAAUUUUUAUAUACAUUUUGUUAUUGCUCCCUUUCAAUUUUUAUAAAUUCCAGAUUUUAAGUUUUGGAUUUAUGGGGCUUUAUUCAUAAAAAAGGGGGAUUUUUCACACCUGGACAAUAACUCAAAAAGGCUUUCACCAAUGGCCAUGAAACUUUGGUGAAUUGUUUAUAUCUAUUGACAUAAGCUCCCUUUCCCUUUUUAUUAAUUUUAGAUUUUACGUUUUCUUAAGUAAUGAAGGGGGAUUUUAUGCAGUUUUGGUGAAACUUAAAAGAGCAACGGCCGUAUCAUGUGCUAAAGCGCAUCCCUUUAUUGAAAUGUGUUGUAGUUUUAACAUAUUAUUAUUUCUUUAUUUUAAUUAUACAAAUUUUGUAUUGUUAAAUAUUUAAAGGGUGUGGAGUCUCAACAGGGUGAAAUUUUCAGGACAAAAGGGAGGUAAUUCCUUUGUUAUACUCAUUAUACUUGAAAUUUCCUGAGUAUUUAUAUGGAAUAUAACUUUUUUAAUUAAAAUAUUCACUUUUGUACACAUUUUCUUUAAAUAUCAGAUGUAUACUUGCUAAAAUUACUUUUAUUUAGAGUUCUGUAAAUAAAAAAAAAUGUAAGCAGAGCUCUAGCUAUAGAUAAUAGAUUUGGAGGGUGGGAGAAAUUGUGGGUAACUACAAUUGAUUAGGUGAAAUUUCAAAAGACUUAAAAAGUGCAUCUGAUAUUUAUUUUUACAUAAUGUUAUUUCUGAAAGCAAAUGGACAAUAAGAUGAGGACAUAAACCACCUUGCAGGUUAGGAUAGCAGCUCUUAAGGAAGAUGGUCAAUUAAAUCUUCAACCCAGUCUGAGGCCUUACCAUGAAAAAUAUGUGGUUGUUGAAAUUACAAUGUUUUCAUGGUGUGGGGAGUAAGACUUGAAUAUCUGAUAUUGUUAACAUGAUGUUGAAAGUGUCACCUUUGCUGCCUUGUGUGGUACAAUCUUCAGACAAUAUCCUGCAAACCGUGGCUGAACUGUUACUAUCUUUUUUUAGUAGAAUCCUUAGACAGUAAUCUUGUGGCAGAAUGAGUUGUAAACAAAUUGUUUUUAUUCCUGUAUUGAGUUUCAAAUUGGAUAUUUUUUAUUUAUAUUAUUUGUAUUCCAUUUGCAUUCAAUUAUUGUUUUUUAAUUGAUGAAUCAUUAAAACUUAAAUUUUGCGGGGUCCGAAAGGACUUUCUUAGAGGGGGCCAGCGCAAUUGAUUAAACAAAAUUUUUCCCGCAACAGGGAGAGGAGACAUCCCCAUAAAUAUGCCUUUGAAAUGGGGUGUUAAAGAAGAUUUGUAUUGUUUGUUUGUUUGUCCAUCAUCAGCUCUCAUCCACAGCUUGGUAGAUUUUCAUUGAAACUUUCAGCUGAUUUUCUGUACUAAAGGCAGUAUGUUUUUU